GUCUAUGGCCAUAACACCUGGAAUGCCCCUGAUCUUCUCUGAUCUCAGAAUAUCAGCAGGGUUGGGCCUUGUACUAGGAUGGGAGAAAAUUUAGAGAACUAAAUGAUGAAUGGUAGUGGACACAGAGU
rnacentral:rRNA from 1 species